AGAGUUUGAUCCUGGCUCAGAUUGAACGCUGGCGGAAUGCUUUACACAUGCAAGUCGAACGGUAACAGCAGAGCUUGCUCUGGCUGACGAGUGGCGGACGGGUGAGUAAUAUAUCGGAACGUGUCCAAUAAUGGGGGAUAACUAGCCGAAAGGUUGGCUAAUACCGCAUACGCCCUGAGGGGGAAAGCUGGGGAUCUUCGGACCUGGCGUUAAUGGAGCGGCCGAUACCUGAUUAGCUAGUAGGUGGGGUAAAAGCCUACCUAGGCAACGAUCAGUAGCUGGUCUGAGAGGACGACCAGCCACACUGGGACUGAGACACGGCCCAGACUCCUACGGGAGGCAGCAGUGGGGAAUUUUGGACAAUGGGGGCAACCCUGAUCCAGCCAUUCCGCGUGAGUGAAGAAGGCCUUCGGGUUGUAAAGCUCUUUCGCAAGAGAAGAAACGAUAUAGGUUAAUAGCCUAUGUUAAUGGCGGUAUCUUGAUAAGAAGCACCGGCUAACUACGUGCCAGCAGCCGCGGUAAUACGUAGGGUGCAAGCGUUAAUCGGAAUUACUGGGCGUAAAGCGUACGCAGGCGGUUUGGUAAGUCAGAUGUGAAAUCCCCGAGCUCAACUUGGGAACUGCGUUUGAAACUACCAGACUAGAAUAUGUCAGAGGGGGGUAGAAUUCCACGUGUAGCAGUGAAAUGCGUAGGGAUGUGGAGGAAUACCAAUGGCGAAGGCAGCCCCCUGGGAUAAUAUUGACGCUCAUGUACGAAAGCGUGGGGAGCGAACAGGAUUAGAUACCCUGGUAGUCCACGCCCUAAACGAUGUCAACUAGUUGUUGGUGGAGUAAAAUCCAUGAGUAACGUAGCUAACGCGUGAAGUUGACCGCCUGGGGAGUACGGUCGCAAGAUUAAAACUCAAAUGAAUUGA
rnacentral:rRNA from 1 species